UCCUCCCCUUCUCUUUUUUCUAUUUCCUCUGUGUCUUUAAUUUGCUUACUCUGUACUUGUGUGAACAGGGUCAGGUGCAGAGAAGAAGGAUUCAGCUGCAAAAACCUCUAAACUUUUGGACGGAUCAUCUGAAUUUGUUCUCACCUAUGAAGAUAAAGAGGGAGAUUGGAUGCUUGUUGGAGAUGUCCCUUGGGGGAUGUUUCUCUGCUCAGUAAAAAGGCUUCGUAUCAUGAGAACCUCUGAGGCUAAUGGACUUGGUCCAAUAUUCCAAGAAAGGAAUGAGAAACAAAAAGCUAAGAAAAGACAAAGAAGGGGAGGAGAGA